UACGAAGGGGGCUAGCGUUGCUCGGAAUCGCUGGGCGUAAAGCGCACGUAGGCGGACUCUUAAGUCGGUGGUGAAAUCCUGGAGCUCAACUCCAGAACUGCCUUCGAUACUGGGAGUCUUGAGUCCGGGAGAGGUGAGUGGAACUGCGAGUGUAGAGGUGAAAUUCGUAGAUAUUCGCAAGAACACCAGUGGCGAAGGCGGCUCACUGGCCCGGUACUGACGCUGAGGUGCGAAAGCGUGGGGAGCAAACAGG
rnacentral:rRNA from 1 species